GACGAACGCUGGCGGCAUGCCUAAUACAUGCAAGUUGAACGAUGAUAUUCUCUGCUUGCAGAGAAUUGAAGAGUAGCGAACGGGUGAGUAACACGUGGGGAACCUGCCCAUGAGAGGGGGAUAACAUUCGGAAACGGAUGCUAAUACCGCAUAAUGCUUUGGACCGCCUGGUCCAGAGACGAAAGACGGCUUUUGCUGUCACUCAUGGAUGGCCCCGCGCCGUAUUAGCUAGUUGGUGAGGUAAUGGCUCACCAAAGCUGUGAUACGUAGCCGACCUGAGAGGGUGAUCGGCCACACUGGGACUGAGACACGGCCCAGACUCCUACGGGAGGCAGCAGUAGGGAAUCUUCCACAAUGGGCGAAAGCCUGAUGGAGCAAUGCCGCGUGAAUGAAGAAGGUCUUCGGAUCGUAAAGUUCUGUUAUUGGAGAAGAACAAGUCAAGGAGUAACUGUCUUGACUUUGACGGUACCUAACCAGAAAGUCACGGCUAACUACGUG
rnacentral:rRNA from 1 species